rnacentral:rRNA from 1 species
UUGAGAUGGCCGUAGGUGCUGGAGAUUUCGAUGCAGAUGGUGAUACACAGAGUAUUUACCUAGUGGGAUACUCUGAAGUGAGUAUCCCGAUGGUUUCAGAAGCAAGUUUAGUAGUAAGUGCUUGUAAGAGGGAUGUUUAAGGCGAGCUCGCGUCCUAUCAGCUAGGGCAAUGUAACGGCCUAUCAAGGCUUUCACGAGUAGUGGCCGAGAGGGUGGUCAACCACAUGGGGACUAGACUCUCCCCAACUCACCGGGAGGAGCUGUCGAAAUAUUUGCAAGGGAGAAAGCCUACUAUGUACGCCGCGUAGGGAUAAGCCAUGGACUUGAAACCCCCA